GCAAGUCUACUUGAAUUUUGACUUCGGUUAAAAGGAUGGUGGCGAACGGGUGAGUAACGCGUAGAUAAUAUGCCCUUUAGACUGUGAUAAGCUCGGGAAACUUAGUCUACUACCGGAUGUUAUGCUUUUGUCGCAUGGAGAGAACAUUAAAGAACUUGAUUCGCUAAAGGAUGAGUCUGCGUGGCAUUAGCUAGUUGGUGAGGUAAGGGCUCACCAAGGCAUCGAUGCCUAGCUGGUCUGAGAGGAUGAUC
rnacentral:rRNA from 1 species